UACGAAGGGGGGCUAGCGUUGCUCGGAAUCACUGGGCGUAAAGCGCACGUAGGCGGCUUUCUAAGUCAGGGGUGAAAUCCUGGAGCUCAACUCCAGAACUGCCUUUGAUACUGGGAAGCUCGAGUCCGGGAGAGGUGAGUGGAACUCCGAGUGUAGAGGUGAAAUUCGUAGAUAUUCGGAAGAACACCAACGGCGAAAGCACUCUGCUGGGCCGACACUGACACUGAGAGACGAAAGCUAGGGGAGCGAAUGGG
rnacentral:rRNA from 1 species